UGGGGAAUUUUGGACAAUGGGCGAAAGCCUGAUCCAGCAAUGCCGCGUGUGUGAAGAAGGCCUUCGGGUUGUAAAGCACUUUUGUCCGGAAAGAAAUCCUUGGCUCUAAUACAGUCGGGGGAUGACGGUACCGGAAGAAUAAGCACCGGCUAACUACGUGCCAGCAGCCGCGGUAAUACGUAGGGUGCAAGCGUUAAUCGGAAUUACUGGGCGUAAAGCGUGCGCAGGCGGUUUGCUAAGACCGAUGUGAAAUCCCCGGGCUCAACCUGGGAACUGCAUUGGUGACUGGCAGGCUAGAGUAUGGCAGAGGGGGGUAGAAUUCCACGUGUAGCAGUGAAAUGCGUAGAGAUGUGGAGGAAUACCGAUGGCGAAGGCAGCCCCCUGGGCCAAUACUGACGCUCAUGCACGAAAGCGUGGGGAGCAAACAGGAUUAGAUACCCUGGUAGUCCACGCCCUAAACGAUGUCAACUAGUUGUUGGGGAUUCAUUUCCUUAGUAACGUAGCUAACGCGUGAAGUUGACCGCCUGGGGAGUACGGUCGCAAGAUUAAACUCAAAUGAAUUGACGGGGUCAUAGCUGUUUCC
rnacentral:rRNA from 1 species